UUGCGGUCACAUUACGUUGAAACACUAGUUCCAGUAUAUUCACCGAAGUUAAGCAACGUUGAACCUGGUCAGUACAUAGAUGGGUGACCGCUUGGGAAUACCAGUUGU